rnacentral:rRNA from 1 species
GUCUCGCACGCUCGUUGGCUGGGUAAACUUUGUUCGUGUCCCCAAGGGAAUUUGCCAAUCCGCUCCGCCCGCGCGUCAAAACCCUAGCCGCCAGCCCUGCUCGUCCCCUCCUCCCCGCUCCCUCCAUCCUCUCCCAUGUCGUCGCCCCUCUUCUCCCCGCUCGCCUCGGCCGCCUCCUCUCCUCUGCCGUGUCGUCGGCCCCCUCCCCCCUCCUACCUCCUCCUCCCUCCUCCCAGUCCCGUGCCAGCCGCCGCCCAAACCUUAGCCCCCGUUUCCCUCGAUCCCCGCAGUAACCGCAUCCACAGCCACCCGCUCCUUCUCACAGCCGCCGCACCAUUCCUCCCUUCCGCCCCCUCCUCCUUCCCGGAUCCCCACCAAGGCGCCGACCUGCAGGCAAAGGGCGACGAAGAGUGGCAGACGAGGACAACGAGGGAGAGAAAGAAGGGAGAUAAAAAGGAGGCCGGCGGCGAGGCCCAGCGACUAGCGCCUCUCCGCCUCAAGCCCCGGCAUCACCGCCACCAGAUCCACCUCGCAACCUCUCUUCCUCUCCUGUCUGACUGCUGCGUGGUCGCGUCAGGCCCAUGCCAGCGCCGCCGCCGCUGGAUGGUUCCGUCGGUCCCUCCCGCUCCAGAUCGAAAACUGAGAGAGCGACGGGAGGGAAGAAGGGGAUCGGGGGAGGGGAGAGCACGGGAGAGAAGGCGAGCUCGCGGCUGACCGCAGCGUGCGAGGCGGACGGGUGAGAAACAUUUGUCGUCGUGCCGCUGGCGGCUGGAGCUUUGGAAUGCGGCCGUGGCCACUAUUAACAAUUUGUAUUUGCAUUUUCUGAUGAAUUCGUCGAGUUCCUUUCUCUAUAUGCUUAGAUGCUUAUCUGUCGGAAAUUUUGUGUGACAACAGAAGUAACGGUGAUUGGUCUACUGUUCUUUUUUGCUGUCUAAAGUGUUCCUUCAACUAAUCCAGUAACCUGACAUUACUUUGUGUUUAACUAAUAUCAUUCUUAUCACAGUGAGUACAGAUAUUAUUCAGUUAGCCUCCUUUUCGUGGAAGAGGAGUGAAAGUGUAAAGGUGCAUGCUUGGAAGCUUAAAUCUGUAAUCAAGUUAUGAAAUAGAGUGCUGUAAGAGACACUUCUAUAAGCAGAGAUUGGUAUGAUGCUGCGAGGCAUGGGGUUUGACAAUACAACCUUCCUCUACGUUGCCUCCGGUAAAAUAUACAAUGCUGCAAAAUACAUGGGUCCCCUUCGCCGGAUGUUCCCUCUUUUACAAACCAAGGACACUCUUGCAUUGUCUGAAGAGCUUGCUGAGUUUGAGGGGUACUCUUCUCGGUUAGCAGCAUUAGAUUACACCGUCUGUGUUCAGAGCGAAGUGUUUGUGACGACUCAAGGGGGGAACUUCCCUCACUUUUUGAUGGGACACAGGCGUUACCUGUUAGGAGGGAAUGCAAAGACAAUAAAACCCGACAAACGGAAGCUGGUCUUAUCUUUUGACGACCCAAAUAUCAGAUGGAGUCGAUUCAAGCACCACAUGCUGGAAAUACUGCACCAUAGUGACAUAAGGGGCAUCGCAUUCAGGAAACCUAAUGAUUCCAUAUACACCUUCCCAAUGCCUGAUUGCAUGUGCCAACAAGAUGGAAUAUGAUCUAGGCAUUAGCAUACAUAACUGAGGGAUGCAUAUCCUCUGCCUUUGUGCAACAAAGGCACCAAAGGCAUGGCAUUGUUGACUGCAUGAUCAGGGUUUGAUGGUCAUGAUGAAAACUGGAGUGAAAUAAAGCAUUUGGUGCUUCUCAGGAGAUUCUGAAACCCUCUGGCAUACCCCAAACCGUUCGAUUCUGGAUAUAAUGGUCAAAAGGUGCCUAAUGACAAUGAAUUCCAUAGUAUCAGAAAUUGAGAGGAUGCGAGGGAUUUUGUAAAGUUAGUAAUCUGUAGGUAGUCCACCAUAUAGCAAUCUCCAUUUGUUCAAUCUGUAUGUAGGUUGUAAAGAGAAAAGAGCUACGAGAUUGGGUUGUAGAUAUGAGUACAACCUGAGUGCCUCGAUGUAUAUUUGAAAAACAAGGGCUAACAACAACAAAGAAAGGAAAUUUUCAGUAUAUCAUUACUCAUCAGUGCUUGUUCUCGCAUUUCAUCUUGCCCUUGACAAUUCAUAUUUAUGAGCAUGUUCUUACAGUUCAGACCUAAUGUUCUUUUUUCUUUCCUUGGGCACUUCCUCAAGAAUCUUGUUGAGGUGUCUGUUUCCCCUCAUGAAUGAUUGUGAUGGCUGCAGGGUCUUCGCAAGGAGUUGAAGGCAUAUAAAAACCAUGGAUCCUUUGCUCCCCAGGCCGCAAAAUGAUCAUAGUGAUGUCUACGACCUCCUCCUAGAUGUAUUAAUCUCAAUCUCAUGUUUGGUUUUCUUCCCUUUUCUCUUCUAAUGAUGUAAUUUCUUUUACUAAGAUAACACCAUGUAUCCC